GGGGCAGCUCACAGAUGGCUUCCCUGUUUAUCAAAUGGGGAUGAUAAGCCUCACUCCUAGGGUUCUGUUAAGGCUCAAAUGCAAUAAGGGAACUGCGAGCUCUUGAAAGACAGUGUAAGUGGAAAGUAUUUGUAUGAAACGCUCUUUCUAAAGAGUAUUGAUGGAAACAUCUUUAUGCAGCCGUGCACAUCGGUACUGAACUGUUGAUUCACUUCUUAGCUGUCAUUAGCUGCUGAUUCCAGCCUGUUGGUCUAGCCUGUGGGCACAAUAGAGGAGCUCACAACAAUGGCGGGUCUGAGUGAUCCGGUGCACCCAGGGGCCCGCCUCCCGGAAAUCACUGCCCUCCGGUUCCCCGGAUCAGCGACUCGCACUGCAGAGUCUCAGGGUGAUCAAUGCGUCCAGCCUGAGGUUAUUACAAAAUAUUGAGCAUAUUUCCUUGUGCCCUCCUCUGUUCAUGGAAUUCUCCAGGCAAGAAUAUUGGAGUGAGUUGCCAUUUCCACCUCCACGGGAUCUUCCCGGCCCAGGGAUGGAACGCGUGUCUCUUGCAUUGCAGGCAGAUUCUUCAUGGCCUGAGACACCAGGGAAGACAAUGCCAUGUUGAGAGAGCCACAGUACUGAACACUUGUUGCUUCUGUUUGAAGUUUUUGGAGAGGCUCUCUAGAAGAGUUUGUUAAUAUUCAUUUAUUCUUCUAGCAUUUAUUGAGCAUCUACAGUGUGGUGGGUACUAUGUACAUCCUGGAGAUGAGAUCAAGAGACACAGUAUCUGAAGGAGUUUAAUAUCUAAAGGGUGCUAGACUUGCAAAUAAACACCAAGACAGCUGCCCUAAUUGAGUGUCU
rnacentral:lncRNA from 1 species